rnacentral:tRNA from 1 species
CUUUAAUUAUUGUAAUUGAGCAUUUAUUGUUUUCAUCAAUUAGGUAAGCAUUUAUUUGUUUAUUAAAGU